rnacentral:rRNA from 1 species
AACGAACGCUGGCGGCAUGCCUAACACAUGCAAGUCGAACGGGACCUUCGGGUCUAGUGGCGCACGGGUGCGGAACGCGUGGGAACCUGCCCUUAGGUUCGGAAUAACUCCCCGAAAGGGGUGCUAAUACCGGAUAGGGUCUUCGGACCAAAGAUGUAUGGCCGUUGGAUGGGCCCGCGUUGGAUUAGCUGGUUGGUAGGGUAAAAGCCUAGCAAGGAGACGAUCCAUAGCUGGUCUGGGAGGAGGAUCAGCCACACUGGGACUGAGGCCCGGCCCAGACUCCUACGGAAGGGAGGAGAGGAGAGUACAGGAGGCUGGGGGAAAGCGUGACCACGCCACGCCGGGGAAGUGAUGCAGGCCUUAGGGAUGUAAAGCUCUUUUACCCGAGGUGUUAAUGACGGUACCGGGAGAAGAAGCUCCGGCUAACUACGUG